UCUAGUAAUGAAACAGAGGACAAUCUUGCUCAAAACCGCCUUAAUUAUGUUGACAAACAAGUGAAUUUAAUUGAGUGCCAAGAAUCUUUCCUUCAUGAAGAACCCAAAGAAACUAAGAAUGCAAAGUUGGACUGGACUCGAAGAACCAGUGAGAUUCAUAAAGACUGGGCUUCUGUCAAACACAAUUUUCUAGAAGCUUUUGUGUCAUCAAAAUCAUUUGGCACUUCUUGGUGUGCUGACUGUCAAGCACCACUUCUGCAGUACUACAUUUCCUGUAGCAAUUGUCCUAAGAAGAGAUGUGAGAAAUGUGAUCAAGCUUUUCACAAAUCUCAUCCUUUUCAUAUGCAAACCAGAUAUUCCAGUUCCAUGUUUCCCAGUAUCGUUCAGUUGUCCAACAUGUGAUUGUUUAACAGCUUUCUCAUUAACAGCUGGGAAAAGGAGAAUAGUCAUCAUCACAGAA